AGUCUGGUGCCAGCAGCCGCGGUAAUUCCAGCUCUAAUAGCGUAUAUUAAAGUUGUUGCAGUUAAAAAGCUCGUAGUUGGAUUUCGGCGUGCGCUCAGGCUGGUCGGCCGUCAUGGUCUGUACCGUUUGGGUCACGCCCCACUGUAGGAUACUCACCGCUGUCCUUAACUGGGUGGCGGUCAAAGGUUGCAGUGCAUGGGGGCAACUCUGUCGCUGCCGCUGGGGUUCCUACUCUUUUACUUUGAGCAAAUUAGAGUGUUCAAAGCAGGCAAUCGAGCCUUGAAUACUUCAGCAUGGGAUAAUGGAACAGGACUGGGAUCCUGAUUUCGUUGGUUUCUAGGGUCUUAGUAAUGAUUAAUAGGGAUAGUUGGGGGCAUUAGUAUUUAAUUGUCAGAGGUGAAAUUCUUGGAUUUAUGAAAGACUAACUUCUGCGAAAGCAUUUGCCAAGGAUGUUUUCAUUAAUCAAGAACGAAAGUUAGGGGAUCGAAGACGAUCAGAUACCGUCGUAGUCUUAACCAUAAACGAUGCCGACCAGCGAUUGGGAGACGUUAUAUAUAUGACUCCCCCAGCAGCUUGCGAGAAAUCACAAGUCUUUGGGUUCCGGGGGGAGUAUGGUCGCAAGGCUGAAACUUAAAGGAAUUGACGGAAGGGCACCACCAGGAGUGGAGCCUGCGGCUUAAUUUGACCCAACACGGGGAAACUUACCAGGUCCAGACAUAGUAAGGAUUGACAGAUUUGAGAGCUCUUUCUUGAUUCUAUGGGUGGUGGUGCAUGGCCGUUCUUAGUUGGUGGAGUGAUUUGUCUGGUUAAUUCUGUUAACGAACGAGACCUUAACCUGCUAAAUAUGUCACUGAUAGACUUCUACCAAAACAGGUGGGUGUUUAGGGCAAAGUUUCGAUGGAGUCCGACGCAUUCAUCUGUGGAUGACUAUCAGGAUGUACUUCUUAGAGGGACUAUCUGUAUCAAAGCAGAUGGAAGUUUGAGGCAAUAACAGGUCUGUGAUGCCCUUAGAUGUUCUGGGCCGCACGCGCGCUACACUGAUAAGUUCAACGAGUUUAACACCUUGCUCGAUAGGGCUGGGUAAUCUUUGAAAAACUUAUCGUGAUGGGGAUAGAUCAUUGUAAUUAUUGGUCUUCAACGAGGAAUUCCUAGUAAGCGUGAGUCAUCAGCUCGCGUUGAUUACGUCCCUGCCCUUUGUACACACCGCCCGUCGCUCCUACCGAUUGAAUGAUGAGGUGAAAUGUUGGGAGCCGGGGCUUUUUGACGGCGGGGCAACUCGUCGCCAGAGGUUCUGCAAACUUCAUUAAACCUUUUCAUUUAGA
rnacentral:rRNA from 1 species